rnacentral:miRNA from 11 species
AGGUGAACUUUGCCCAGAUUAGACU